UUUGAUCAUGGCUCAGAUUGAACGCUGGCGGCAGGCCUAACACAUGCAAGUCGAACGGUAACAGGAAGCAGCUUGCUGCUUCGCUGACGAGUGGCGGACGGGUGAGUAAUGUCUGGGAAACUGCCUGAUGGAGGGGGAUAACUACUGGAAACGGUAGCUAAUACCGCAUAAUGUCGCAGGACCAAAGAGGGGGACCUUCGGGCCUCUUGCCAUCAGAUGUGCCCAGAUGGGAUUAGCUUGUUGGUGAGGUAACGGCUCACCAAGGCGACGAUCCCUAGCUGGUCUGAGAGGAUGACCAGCCACACUGGAACUGAGACACGGUCCAGACUCCUACGGGAGGCAGCAGUGGGGAAUAUUGCACAAUGGGCGCAAGCCUGAUGCAGCCAUGCCGCGUGUAUGAAGAAGGCCUUCGGGUUGUAAAGUACUUUCA
rnacentral:rRNA from 1 species